rnacentral:rRNA from 1 species
UACGAAGGGGGCUAGCGUUGCUCGGAAUCACUGGGCGUAAAGCGCACGUAGGCGGCUUUCUAAGUCAGGGGUGAAAUCCUGGAGCUCAACUCCAGAACUGCCCUUGAUACUGGAAAGCUUGAGUUCGGGAGAGGUGAGUGGAACUGCGAGUGUAGAGGUGAAAUUCGUAGAUAUUCGCAAGAACACCAGUGGCGAAGGCGGCUCACUGGCCCGAUACUGACGCUGAGGUGCGAAAGCGUGGGGAGCAAACAGGG